rnacentral:rRNA from 1 species
AUUGAACGCUAGCGGGAUGCUUUACACAUGCAAGUCGAACGAGUGGCGGACGGGUGAGUAAUAUAUCGGAACGUGCCCAGUAGCGGGGGAUAACUACUCGAAAGAGUGGCUAAUACCGCAUACUAUUGCAGCGGCCGAUAUCGGAUUAGCUAGUUGGUGGGGUAAAGGCUCACCAAGGCAACGAUCCGUAGCUGGUUUGAGAGGACGACCAGCCACACUGGGAAUGAGACACGGCCCAGACUCCUACGGGAGGCAGCAGUGGGGAAUUUUGGACAAUGGGGGAAACCCUGAUCCAGCAAUCCCGCGUGUAUGAGAAGGCCUUCGGGUUGUAAAGUACUUUUGGCAGAGAAGCGGUAUCUGCAGAAUAAGCACCGGCUAACUACGUGCCAGCCGCCGCGGUAAUUC